CACGUAGUUAGCCGGUGCUUAUUCUUCAGGUACCGUCAUCCCUCCGAGUUAUUAGCCCAAAGGAUUUCUUCCCUGACAAAAGCGGUUUACAACCCGAAGGCCUUCUUCCCGCACGCGGCAUGGCUGGAUCAGGGUUGCCCCCAUUGUCCAAAAUUCCCCACUGCUGCCUCCCGUAGGGGUCUGGGCCGUGUCUCAGUCCCAGUGUGGCUGGUCGUCCUCUCAGACCAGCUACAGAUCGUCGGCUUGGCAGGCCUUUACCCCACCAACUACCUAAUCUGAUAUCGGCCGCUCCAAUCGCGCGAGGUCCGAAGAUCCCCCGCUUUCACCCUCAGGUCGUAUGCGGUAUUAGCUGCUCUUUCGAGCAGUUAUCCCCCAGACUGGGCACGUUCCGAUAUAUUACUCACCCGUUCGCCACUCGUCGCCAGGUUGCCCCGCGUUACCGUUCGACUUGCAUGUGUAAGGCAUGCCGCCAGCGUUCAAUCUGAGCCAGGAUCAAACUCU
rnacentral:rRNA from 1 species